GGAUCAGUGAUGACUUCAAAAAUGGGUCUUGUUGACAUCGGAAGAAAAUGAAUGACAAAAUCACUUCUGUGAGCUGAGGUCC
ensembl:snoRNA SNORD116 Small nucleolar RNA SNORD116